UGUGGUGAAUCACAUUAUUGAAUUGCAUAUGUUGAACCAUCCCUUCAUCCCUGGGAUAAAACCCACUUGAUCAUGAUGAAUUAUCUUUUUGAUGUGCUGUUGGAUUUGUUAGAGUUUGUAGACAGAUAUACAUAAGAAAGAAAGGCAGCCCUGGAGGAAGGAAGCCCUGGAAACAUUGCCCCACUAGCAAUCAAUGCUUCCCUAGCAGUUAGGAUUUUUUAAAAAGCCAAUAGCCACAUCUAGACUUGUGGUUAUGCUUAUGCAGCCCCAACCAAGACUUAUCCGUAACAGGAAAUGACUGUAGUAGGGACUUUUCCCAGUGGCUAGCACGCACACCUCAACUUGGCAGUGUCACCCUAAAGGUAACAUUUUGCUCAUUAUAAUAGUAAGAAACACACCCCUAGGUCGAGAUUUAAGAUGCUAAUAAGACAUGCCCAGGGGACCACCCAAAACGUGCUUGCUAAUAACACUCCUUCACACCAUUCAUGAAUAAUCCUGUGAGACUCUCGUAAGAGAGCCUCCCCGUGCCUAUCUGGGCUGUCUCAUUCUUAAGCAGCCCACUCUAACUCAGCAUUCAGGGUAUAUUUUCACUUUAAAUAAACUUUCCUAGUCUUAACUGUAACUGCUUUUCUCUUGGUUGAAUUCUUUCUUCCAAGAAGACAAGAACCAAGGACCCUCUGCUUCCUGAUAUUAGAUUUAGUUUGCUAGUAUUUUGUUGAGGAUGUUUGCAUCUAUGUUCAUCAGGAAUAUUGGUCUGUAGUUUUCAUUUUUAUUAUGUUAUUUCCUGUCUUUGGUAUCAGGGUGAUACUGUCCUCAUAGAAUGAGUUAGGAAGGAUUUCCUUUUUCUCAGUCUUUUGGAGUGGUUUCAGUAGAAUUGGUACCAAUUCUUCUUUGAAGAUCUGAUAGAAUUCAGCUGUGAAUCCAUCUGACCCUAGGCUUUUUUUAUUGUUGGCAUUUUUUUUUAUUACUAAUUCACCCUCACUGCUUGUUGCUGGUCUGUUCUGAAUUUCUAUUAUUUCUUCCUGAUUUAAGCUAAGGGUUGUAUAUUUUCAGAAAUUUACCCAUUUCCUCUAGAUUUUCUAGUUUGUGUGCAUAGAGGUGUUCAUAGUAGUCUUGAAUGAUCUUUUAUAUUUCUGUGGUGUUAGUUGUAAUGUUCUCCAUUUUUAUUUCUACUUGAACUUAUUUGAAUUUUCUCUCUUCAUUUCUCUGUUAUUCUAGCUAAUGGGCUAUCAAUUUUGCUUUCCUCACACCUCAUCCUCCUCAGUAGCUGGGACCACAGACAUGUGUCACCGUUGCUGGCUUUAUUGUCAAUUUUAGCAUUGUUUUAUGUUUGUAGUUUCUUUGUUACUUUAUUCCUCUCUUGCUGUCUUCCUUCAUACUUUAAUGAUUUUUUUUGUAGUGGUAUGUUUUUAUUUCUUUCUCUUUAUCUUUUAUGUAUCUACUAGAGCUUUUCUUUUUGUUGUUACCAUCAGGCUUAUAUAAAACAUCUUAAGGUUAUAACAGUCUAUUUUAAGCUGAAAGCAACCUAACUUAAACCACAUAUAAAAACUCUACAAUAAAGGAUUGAGGGCCUGAUGGGUAGUUUUUGGGUCAUGGGACACCAACCUCAUAAAUGAUUAAUGCUGUUAUCAUGGAAGUGUGUUCAUUGUUGUGGGAAUGGGAUACUUAUAAAAUGACAAAUUUGACCGAUGGCUGAAGAUGGCCGAAUAGGAACAGCUCCAGUCUGCAGCUCCCAGUGUCAUUGAUGCAGAAGUUGGGUGAUUUCUGCAUUUCCAGCUGAGGUAACUGGUUCAUCUCACUGGGCCUGAUUGGACAGUGAGUGCAGCCCAUGGAGGGUGAGCCGAAGCAGGGUGGGGCAUCACCUUAACUGGGAAGUGCAAGGGGUCAGGGAAUUUCCCUUUCCUAGCCAAGGGAAGCCGUGACAGACUGUACCUGGAAAAACGGGACACUCCCACCCAAAUACUGCAUUUUUCCCACAGUCUUAGCAACCGGCAGUCUAGGAGAUUCUCUCCCGUGCCUGGCUCGGUGAGUCCCACACACAUGGAGCCUUGCUCACUGCUAGUGCAGCAGUUUGAGAUCGACCUGCAAGGCUGCAGCCUUGCUGGGGGAGGGGCACCUGCCAUUGCUGAGGCUUUACUAGGUAAACAAAGUGUCCGGGAAGCUCAAACUGGGUGGAGCCCACCACAGCUCAGCAAGGCCUACUGCCUUUAUAGAAUCCACCUCUGUGGGCAGGGCGUAGCUAAACAAAAGGCAGCAGACAACUUCUGCAAACUUAAACAUCCCUGUCUGACAGAACUGAAGAGAGCAGUGGUUCUCCCAGUAUGGCAUUUGAGCUCUGAGAACAGACAGACUGCCUCCUCAUGUGGGUCCCUGACUGCGGUGUAGCCUAACUGGGAGACACCUCCCAGUAGGGGCCAAUAGACACAUCAUAUAGGCGGCUUCCCUCUGGGACGAAGCUUCCAGAGGAAAAAUCAGGGAGCAAUAUGUGGUGUUCUGCAAUAUCUACUGUUCUGCAGCCUCUGCUGGUGAUACCCAGGCAAACGGGCUGGAUGGACCUCCAGAAAACUCCAACAGACCUGCAGCUGAGGGACCUGACUGUUAGAAGGAAAACUAGCAAACAGAAAGAAAUAACAUCAAUAUCAACAAAAAGGACAUCCACAUAAAAACCCCAUCUGUAGAUAACCAACAUCAAAGACCAAACGUAGCCCCACAUGCCCAGCAGGCAUGAGUGCCAUGGCCUGGCUCCCACAGGGCUAUGCCAAGCCAGGUGAGCCCCCGCAGCACCCAGGCAUGGGCCUGGGCUGCCACUGCUACUGCCACCAGGCGUGGCAUUUUUAUUCAGGCGACGCUUAAGGGAGUCCGGCCGUGCCCGGUGCAUUGUGGGAGCGGCCCGCAGCCCGUUUUUGGGAGGAGGCGGAGGGUGCAAAGCCAGCCGGUGGAUCCAUAAAGAACCCAGCCAACCCACAGAGGGAGGGGAGGGGCUGAGCUGUGAGGAGAGCGGGGCCCAAGAACCAUGUCUAAGCGGGAGUCCUUUAACCUGGAAAGUUAUGAAUUGGACAAAAGCUUCUGGCUAACCAGAUUCACUGAACUGAAGGGCACAGGUUGCAAAGUGCCCCAAGAUGUCUUGCAAAAAUUGCUGGAAUCUUUACAGGAGAACCACUUCCAAGAAGAUGAGCAGUUUCUGGGAGC
rnacentral:lncRNA from 10 species